UACGUAGGGGGCAAGCGUUGUCCGGAUUUAUUGGGCGUAAAGAGCGUGUAGGCGGCUAGGUAGGUCCGUUGUGAAAACUCGAGGCUCAACCUCGAGACGCCGGUGGAAACCAUCUAGCUAGAGUCCGGAAGAGGAGAGUGGAAUUCCUGGUGUAGCGGUGAAAUGCGCAGAUAUCAGGAAGAACACCCGUGGCGAAGGCGGCUCUCUGGUACGGGACUGACGCUGAGGCGCGAAAGCGUGGGGAGCGAACAGG
rnacentral:rRNA from 1 species